GUGGCAUGGCGCAUGCUAUACAUGCAGUCGAGCGAACAGAUAAGGAGCUUGCUCCUUUGACGUUAGCGGCGGACGGGUGAGUAACACGUGGAUAACCUACCUAUAAGACUGGGAUAACUUCGGGAAACCGGAGCUAAUACCGGAUAAGAUUUUGAACCGCAUGGUUCAAUAGUGAAAGACGGCCUUGCUGUCACUUAUAGAUGGAUCCGCGCCGUAUUAGCUAGUUGGUAAGGUAACGGCUUACCAAGGCAACGAUACGUAGCCGACCUGAGAGGGUGAUCGGCCACACUGGAACUGAGACACGGUCCAGACUCCUACGGGAGGCAGCAGUAGGGAAUCUUCCGCAAUGGGCGAAAGCCUGACGGAGCAACGCCGCGUGAGUGAUGAAGGUCUUCGGAUCGUAAAACUCUGUUAUCAGGGAAGAACAAACGUGUAAGUAACUGUGCACGUCUUGACAGUACCUGAUCAGAACGCCACGGCUAACUACGUGCCAGCAGCCGCGGUAAUACGUAGGUGGCAAGCGUUAUCCGGAAUUAUUGGGCGUAAAGCGCGCGUAGGCGGUUCUUUAAGUCUGAUGUGAAUCCCCCCGGCUCAACUGUCGAGGGUGAUUCCAUACUGCA
rnacentral:rRNA from 1 species